rnacentral:rRNA from 1 species
GACGUAGGGCGCGAGCGUUGUCCGGAUUUACUGGGCGUAAAGCGCACGUAGGCGGAUUGUUAAGUCGGGGGUGAAAUCCUGGAGCUCAACUCCAGAAUUGCCUUCGAUACUGGCUUUCUAGAGGCUGGAAGAGGUUAGUGGAAUUCCCAGUGUAGAGGUGAAAUUCGUAGAUAUUGGGAAGAACACCAGUGGCGAAGGCGGCUAACUGGUCCAGAUCUGACGCUGAGGUGCGAAAGCGUGGGGAGCAAACAGG